rnacentral:tRNA from 1 species
AUUAAGGUGGCUGAAAUAUUAGGCAUUAAACUGUAAAUUUAAUUAUGGAUAAACUAUCUUCUUAGUA